GAUAUCAACUGAAAAAGUCAUCAACAACAAAGUUGAAUAACUCAUCAAGAUCUAAAACUUUUAUUUUGGUCAUUUCUUCAUACGACAAAGUGAUAGUAACAUUGUUCACAAAAUUGACAUAUCUCUUAUCUGGUUUUAUAAACUAUAACACAUAUAUGUAAAAUUUGUGAAUAAUAUUACUAACAUUUCGUCGGAUGAAAAAAUAACAAAAAUAAAAGUUUUAGAUCUUGAUGAGUUAUUCAACUUUGUUGUUGAUGACUUUUUCAAUUGAAAUC
rfam:Oryza nivara chromosome 11, whole genome shotgun sequence.